GCGGCGGCGGAUCUAUCCCCGGGCGCCCGAGCGUCUGCCCGCUCCUAUUCCCCAGGAACGCGAGCGUCCGCCCAUCCAUAUCCCCCAAAGAACUCCUCUUCAUCCAUUGACGGGAGGCGGGAGGAACCUGAUUCAGGACUGGCGGCUGGAACGCGAGGGUCUCGUUUCGCCCGGAUCCCAGGCCAUGGAUUGCCCACUUUGCAAAAACCCGCCUGCCGUAUGUGGAGAUCUCGAAGGACCAUCCUGCCACAUUUCAGUUCCAACGACAACCUUCUGCACAUUCAGAGCACCGGUUAAAUGUAGAACUCUUCAGGACGGAUAAACAAAAUCGUUGAUUUCUAUACUACAGCUGUUACCCAACAAACACCUUGGCGCAACCAAUGUAAAAAAAAGGCUAACUACAGUGAUGUUCGAUCAUGGAGAUAGGAGGACCAGGAUUCAUGGUCCUGGCUGGCAGAUGUUUAGACAUAUGCAGCUCCAGUGACUAUAUCUAAGUUUGGUUGGCACGGUUUUACUAAUGGAGUAAUGGUCAUC